rnacentral:rRNA from 1 species
GACGAACGCUGGCGGCGUGCUUAACACAUGCGAGUCGAACGGAAAGGCCCUGCUUUUGUGGGGUGCUCGGGUGGCGAACGGGUGAGUAACACGAGAGUAACCUGACCUUGACUUUGGGAUAACUUCACGAAACUGGGGCGAAUCCAAGACAGGAGCUCCUGCUGCAUGGGGGGGGUUGGAAAGUUUCGGCGGUUGGGGCUGGAUUGGCGGCUUACCGGCUUGUUGGGGGGGUUGUGGCUUACCAAGGCUUUGACGGGUAGCCGGCCUGAGAGGGUGCCCGGCCACAUUGGGGCUGAGUUACGGCCCAGGCUGUUACGGGAGGCAGCAGUGGGGAAUAUUGCACAAGGGGCGGAAGCCUGUUGCGGCAGCGCCGCUUGCGGGAUGACGGCCUUCUGGUUGGAAACCGCUUUCGCCUGUGACUGAGCGUGAGUGACGGUAAUGGGUAAAGAAGCACCGGCUAACUACGUG